rnacentral:lncRNA from 1 species
CUUGGGCUUUCUGCUAAUAUGGUUGAGCAAUUGUGGGGUUUGUGUGAUGAUCUUUCACUUGCUAUUAAGUUGAAUAUUUCCCCCAUUGAAGUCGAUGCUACCUCUAUGAUCAGUUUAUUAAAAAAAUCAUUCUUCUAAAAAUCCCUUGCUUAAUGAUUAUAGGACUUUCUUGACAAUCUUUUAGAAUCGAUGACUUCUGCGUGGAGAAAAUUGUUUCGCG